rnacentral:rRNA from 1 species
GGCGACGAUCCCUAGCUGUCUGAGAGGAUGAUCAGCCACACUGGACUGAGACACGUCCAGACUCUACGGGAGCAGCAGUGGGAAUAUGCACAUGGGCGCAAGCUGAUGCAGCCAUGCCGCGUGUGUGAAGAAGCUUCGGGUUGUAAAGCACUUUCAGUCGUGAGGAAGCUAGUGUAGUUAAUAGCUGCAUCAUUUGACGUUAGCGACAGAAGAAGCACCGGCUAACUCCGUGCCAGCAGCCGCGGUAAUACGGAGGGUGCGAGCGUUAAUCGGAAUUACUGGGCGUAAAGCGCAUGCAGGUGGUUAGUUAAGUCAGAUGUGAAAGCCCGGGGCUCAACCUCGGAACUGCAUUUGAAACUGGCUGACUAGAGUACUGUAGAGGGGGGUAGAAUUUCAGGUGUAGCGGUGAAAUGCGUAGAGAUCUGAAGGAAUACCGGUGGCGAAGGCGGCCCCCUGGACAGAUACUGACACUCAGAUGCGAAAGCGUGGGGAGCAAACAGGAUUAGAUACCCUGGUAGUCCACGCCGUAAACGAUGUCUACUUGGAGGUUGUGGCCUUGAGCCGUGGCUUUCGGAGCUAACGCGUUAAGUAGACCGCCUGGGGAGUACGGUCGCAAGAUUAAAACUCAAAUGAAUUGACGGGGGCCCGCACAAGCGGUGGAGCAUGUGGUUUAAUUCGAUGCAACGCGAAGAACCUUACCUACUCUUGACAUCCUGAGAAGUUAGCGGAGACGGUUUGGUGCCUUCGGGAACUGUGAGACAGGUGCUGCAUGGCUGUCGUCAGCUCGUGUUGUGAAAUGUUGGGUUAAGUCCCGCAACGAGCGCAACCCUUAUCCUUGUUUGCCAGCACUUCGGGUGGGAACUCCAGGGAGACUGCCGGUGAUAAACCGGAGGAAGGUG